rnacentral:lncRNA from 1 species
UCAAAAUGGGUCAUGACCCAUGGGUUAACCCAACCUAAAUUGACCCAUUAACCCAAAUGAACUGUUUAUUUUUGAUCCAAAGGGUUAAUGGGUUAAUAGGUUAAUGAGUUAAUAGGUUAAUGGGUUAACAAAUUAAUGGGUUAACAUGUUAAAUAGGUUUAUUGGGUUGGGUGUUUCUAAACUAUGAACAUAGUCUAACACAUGAUAACCAAAUUAGUAUAUAUUCUUCAAAAUUGUUCAAUUAUAUGAAAUUUUAAUUUAUUUACUUCAUAUUAUCCAUUAUAUUGAUGAUUAGUUAAAAAUAUCACAAUAAUUAUUUUUAUACAUUUUCAAAAUUAAAUUAUUAGAUCAAAUUAGAGUGUAGACUCCAAAAUAAGUCUAUAAGGUAGACUUCGUAGGAAGUCUAUAUAUAUGUAGACUUCUUUUAUUACGUGUAGACUUCCGAAGGAUAAAAGCGUAAAAUAUAUUUCUGUUUUUUUGUUUGGUCAUAAGAGUUAAAUAGUACUUUCACUAUCCUUUUAGGUUGGCUUUACAUUUGACUGAAAGUGGGGUACAUUUUUAGGUUUGACUUGAAUAUUUAGGUUGUUUUUAGCAAAUGUCCCGAAUUUUUUGUUGCUCAAGAGGAGAUUAAUCCACUAACCCUAAGAUCAGAAUCUGCUUUUGACUGUCUAAAAAAAAAAAAAAAGAAUCUGCUUUUGAUAAAGAUAUUCAGGUAUAUAUACAUACAUACUACAAUAUCUUUGUAUUUCAUUUUUACUUCUCUGAUUGAAGCAAUCAGUAUUGUGUAUGUUAAAUUGAAUAACAGCGUAUGAAUUGUAAGAUUUUUGAAGUUGAUUUAUGAAAGGAUAUUGAUCAUAUUAAUGUUUGAUUAACAGAGAAGUGUACAUGAAAAGCAAAGAGAGAUGAUGAACACAAUAGCUACUAAUAAACUCAGAGCUUGGCAGCCUUCUCUUCAAAGCAUAUCAGAAUCCACAUGCUAAAGAUGCGCUUCAUUUUUUUACUUUUUUUACUUUGCCUUUUUGAUCAGUUGAUUUAUCUUUGUAUCGUUGUUUUUUCCCUAUCAAAUUGUAAAGGAAGAAAAGAGAACUCAUUUCAUUGUGGCAGAAGAAGGAAGAUCCCUUGUGUAUCCUUUCUAAUGUAAUAGUAACCAAAGAAUAUCAUUAAAAGCAAUCAAAUUUGUAAACUAGAAAUAUAUAAACUGCAUCAAGUUAACCCUCAAUUUACUAAAUAUAUAUUUAUUUAUUUUUAUUUUUUCGAACAAAUAAUUUGAAGGUUUUACACUAUAAAAUUAAAUAAAACAAAAGAAAAUAUUUUUAUUUUAAUAUUUUAAUAUUUACAUAAUUAUAUUUUUAAUAUUUAGUUACUAGUCAGCAUAUGAAAAAAAGAACAAUUUUUUUUACCCCCAAAAAUAUAUUUUUUACUCUAAGUGGAUGUCACAGUUUCGUUGAUCAGAUGAACUUUGAUUAGAUGUAAAGUUUUUAUUCUUGUUUUGAGAUUAUUAACUUAUAAAAAGUUCAAACACUAGCUAGCAAUACAUACACGCGUCCAAUAAACAAGGGACCCGCAUGACAUUCCACGUGGUUUAAAUAACAGAGCCGGUUUAAAGUUAAACCAAAAAGAACCGCCUAUUCUUUUCUCUGCUUUUAAAAACAGAGGAAACAGAAGAAAUAUCAAGAAAACGCUCUCCAAACGAUGUCUUCCACCAUCUUCUCCAGCAAAAAACCACAAGAAUGGUCAGAAACCAUAAGAGAGAAGUGUCUUCCUCUCCUCCAUCAAGCCUCUUCGUCUUCUCUCCUCAAGGAAGCCAUUGAUGGUUUUGGUUCAAGAGAUCAACUCUCACUUCAACACUUUGGAGUUUUAAUUUCACUAAAAUGUAUAUAUAUAAAUAAAUCUUAACUUAAUUUUGGUUACUCAAAUGUUUCAUCUGAAUAAAUUAUUUGUGAUUCCCUGAAAUAUUUAUCUAUUCACCUACGAAAUUAUUCAAUGAUUAAAAACUAUCAAAAUGGAAAAGAUCCAAAACAAACUUAGCAGAUAUCAUGUAAUGAUUAAAAUAUAUCAAACUGAAACAACACAUACCAAUUAGAAUAAAAGUUUUGAACAAGAUCUUUUGUUGACAAAAUCAAUCAAAUAAAAUUUUGUUGAGUAUGUAUUUUUGAACAAAUCUAUAAAACUAUAAUUUUCUGGAAGAAGUUUUACAUUAGAUUUGUUGAUUUAGAAAUUUUUUGACGAUCUAUCAACAUCUAUAUUUAUAAAACAUAAAAUCAACUUAGCGAAUGAAUUUUACAAUAAUAUAUAGCGACAAGAGUUGAAACUAUCUACAUGUGGAAGUAUUCAGUAUAUAAUUAUAAAACAUAAAACAUACAACUUGAAACAUUUCUAUCAACUUAAGUGAUUGAUUUUAUUAGCAAAUUUCACACUAACAUUGAUGUCGAAAAUAGUUCAAGCUAUCAAUAUAUGAAAUUAUUCACUGAUUAAAACUUUUUUUUUUUUUGAGCAUCUUAAAUUAAAACCUAUCAAAUUAUUCACUUAUUCACUGAUUAAAACCUUUUUUUUUGAGCAACUCUGAUUAAAACCUAUCAAAUUAAAUUAUUUAUUCUAAAUAAAAUUUAAGAGACAUCAUCAUGUAUGUAAAUCACAACAUUAGGGGUGUCAAAAUGGGUCAUGACCCAUGGGUUAACCCAACCUAAAUUGACCCAUUAACCCAAAUGAACUGUUUAUUUUUGAUCCAAAGGGUUAAUGGGUUAAUAGGUUAAUGAGUUAAUAGGUUAAUGGGUUAACAAAUUAAUGGGUUAACAUGUUAAAUAGGUUUAUUGGGUUGGGUCAACUCUGACCCAUUUAGUUUUUAAUUAAGAAAACCCAAAAGAAAAAAAAACUCACGUAUCUCUCUCUUUCGCCGUCUCUCAUCUCACCAUGAAAGGAGCUUGAAGCUCUCAUC